GAAGAAGCGCUGGAGAGAGAAACAUGAUGGACAAGGUGCAUUCCAGUGUGUGCCCUUGUGUUGUGUUCACAUGCAAGGGGCCUUUUGAUGAUAAUUGUCUUGGGAUUCAGAGAGCGGCGAGAGAGACUCUGUACUCAUGUAUUGCAUAUAUAUUAUAUAUAUAUUGUAAGUAAAUCAAAACCAAAUAAUUUACAAGCUUUUAACUUCAUGAGGUGCAAUGGCAAGGUAUCUAACACCGGAGACGUCCUUGGUGAAUCUGCCUCUGGCUGGACAUUUCUUUACAGUCCUUUUUAAAGUCCAUCAACUUUUUGACAUGUUCAGAAAUCCCUCCUGGAAACUCCCUCUGCAUACAUUCAGUCUUUUACAGCCAAAUGGUCAAACACAAAAUCUUGAACUGUCAUUAUUUCUGGAAGACCCCUUAGGACUUUUGCAUAUAAAACUCUUUGUCUCUUUGUCCUCUUUUUCUGGACCUUUCCAUCAUCGCUGUAUCUUCUGUAUCUCGUCUGCAACACAUAGACGGUAAUGAUGGCAUUUUUCUCCUUUCUUUUGCAAAGCUCUUUCUAAUACAUUUUCAACUCCUCUCUACUCUGCCACCAUCAUCUGCUUAAUAAAUGCUUACAACAUUCA